CACGCGCUCUGCUAGGAAGCGGGAGAGAAGGGGAAAGAUGCGGGAGCAGCCCUCCGGGGGGAGAGAAUCUGCGGUGGGCGCAGGCCGGGGGAGCGGGCCCGGCGGGCGGGAGGGGGCUCCUCUGGUCCCCAGGGACCGUCUCCCGUCUCUGCACGCCUGUCUCCCCGCGGUGACCCCGCGCUGGGAGGGAUGCUCGGGGAAGCCUCCAGAGGCCGGAGGGUGCAGCGGGGCUCACGCGGGACUCGGUGAGCAGGAGGGGACACCCGCAGCCCUCCUCCCGCCUCGUGGGCUGGGACACAGCGGAGGCCGACACCCCUCGGGUCUCGUGCCAGGUGAUUACCCAGCGCACCCCCGGCGAUUUCCUCUCCUCCCCCGGGCAGUGCCUGCGGCGCGUUCCCUGAUUCGGCCCGGGCUGCGCAGUCGGCGCCGGGCAACCUGCGGGGGCCGCGUCUUCGUGCGCAGGUGCCCGGGACCCUGCAAGAAGUGCUUGGACGGAACUGGAGCUCCAGUGACUCAAGCUAUAAACUGCUUCCUCUCCACCCGCCUGGCAGAGGCCCAGGAGAGGCCUCUAAGAAGUUUUCUGUCUGCCUGA
rnacentral:lncRNA from 12 species